UCCACAGACUCGGCUCAGACUGACAGUAGAGGAGAGGUUUUCCUGCAGCUGCAAAACAGUGUGAUUAAUGCAAGACUGACUUUUGGCAGUGGGACAAAGCUCACAGUCAUAGGGAAGAACGAUGAAAUCAUACCUCCAGCCGUGGCCAUCUUUUCCCCUUCAAAGGCAGAGAUCCAACAGAAGAACAAGGCCACACUGGUAUGCCUGGCCUCUGGUUUCUACCCUGACCACCUGGAUCUGGUCUGGAAGGUGAAUGGUGCUACAAGGAUGGAAGGGGUGGGCACGGAUGAGUUUUCCACACGCAAUGGGAGUACCUACUCAUUGACCAGCCGACUGAGGAUCUCAGCCCAGGAAUGGUUCAACCCUUCAAAUCACUUUGAGUGUGUUGCCAAUUUUUUUAAGAAUGGAACACUGGAAUCAAUACACAAAUUAAUCUACAGUGAUGCUGGCUGUGUGCUCACGGAAGAGUCCUACUUGCGGUAUGGAAAUUCUCUGAAGCUCACUUACCUCAUUCUCUGCGGCAAAGCCUUGCUCUAUGCAGUUUUGGUGAGCGGUCUGGUGUGGACAGUCAAG